UAUUCUGCCCCAAAACACCCUAAAAAAAACUAAAAAAAACUAAAAAACCCUAAAUCCCACGAUUUCACCCCAAAACCUUCUUGACCUCCAAAAAACUGGCCUCGGAUCCAACCUCCACCAUUUUGUCCUCCAAAAAAAGGACCAAAACCCUCAAAUUUCGACGUCCUUCUCCUACAAAAAAGAUAAAUUCCACGCCAAAACACCCUAAAAAUAAUUAAAAAAAAGUAAAAAACCCUAAAUCCCACGAUUUCACCCCAAAACCUUCUUGGCCUCCAAAAAAACGAGCCUCAAAUCCAACCUCCACCAUUUUGUCCUCCAAAAAAAGGACCAAAACCCUCAAAUUUUGAAGUCCUUCCCCUUUAAAAAAGAUAAAUUCCACCCCAAAACACCCUAAAAAAAAAUUAAAAAAUAGUAAAAAACCCUAAAUCCCCUGAUUUCACCCCAAAACAGCCCUCCCCUCCCGGCCUCCACGGCCACCCAGGAGCUGGACAAGCUGAUGGCCUCGCUCUCCGACUUCAACCUGCGGGGUCCGGGGGGUUUUGGGGUCNNNNNNNNNNNNNNNNNNNNNNNNNNNNNNNNNNNNNNNNNNNNNNNNNNNNNNNNNNNNNNNNNNNNNNNNNNNNNNNNNNNNNNNNNNNNNNNNNNNNUAUUUCACCCCAAAACACCCUAAAAAACCUAAAAAACCCUAAAACCCUAUAUUUCACCCCAAAACCUUCUUGGCCUCCAAAAAACUGGCCUCGGAUCCAACCACCACCAUUUCGGCCUCCAAAAAAAGGCCAAAAUCCCAAAAUUUUGAGGUUUUCCCCCAGAAAAAAAAUCCUAUAUUUCACCCCAAAACAUCCUGAAAACCCUAAAAAAAACCUAAAAAACCCUAAAUCCCAUGAUUUCACCCCAAAACCUUCUUGGCCUCCAAAAAACUGGCCUCAGAUCCAACCUCCACCAUUUUGUCCUCCAAAAAAAAGGCUGAAACCUCCAAAUUUUGAGGUCUUCCCCUAUAAAAAAUAUAUAUAUAUCUUUCCCAAAACACCCUAAAAUAACCCCAAAACCCUAAAUCCCAUUAUUUCACCCCAAAACCUUCUUGACCUCCAAAAAAACGAGCCUCAAAUCCAACCACCACCAUUUUAUCCUCCAAAAAAAAGGCUGAAACCUCCAAAUUUUGAGGUCCUUCCCCUCCAAAAAUGAUAUAUUCCACCCCAAAACACCCCGAAAAACCCUAAAAAAAAACUAAAAAACCCUAAAUCCCACGAUUUCACCCCAAAACCUUCUUGACCUCCAAAAAACCGGCCUCGGAUCUAACCACCACCAUUUUGUCCUCCAAAAAAAGGACCAAAACCCUCAAAUUUCGACGUCCUUCCCCUCCAAAAAUGAUAAAUUCCACCCCAAAACACCCUAAAAAUAAGUAAAAAAAAGUAAAAAACCCUAAAUCCCACGAUUUCACCCCAAAACCUUCUUGACCUCCAAAAAACUGGCCUUGGAUCCAACCUCCACCAUUUUGUCCUCCAAAAAAAAGGCUGAAACCUUAAAAUUUCGAGGUCUUUCCCCUACAAAAAAUAUAUAUUCUGCCCCAAAACACCCUAAAAAAAACUAAAAAAAACUAAAAAGCCCUAAAUCCCACGAUUUCACCCCAAAACCUUCUUGACCUCCAAAAAAACGAGCCUCAAAUCCAACCUCCACCAUUUUGUCCUCCAAAAAAAAGGGCCAAAACCUCCAAAUUUUGAGAUAUUCCCCCUAUAAAAAAUACAUAUUCUGCCCCAAAACACCCUAAAAAAAACUAAAAAAAACUAAAAAACCCUAAAUCCCACGAUUUCACCCCAAAACCUUCUUGGCCUCCAAAAACCGGGCCUCAAAUCCGACCACCACCAUUUUGUACUCAAAAAAAGGGCCAAAACCUCCAAAUUUUGAGGUCUUCCCCUAUAAAAAAAAUAUAUAUAUCUUUCCCAAAACACCCUAAAAUAACCCCAAAACCCUAAAUCCCAUUAUUUCACCCCAAAACCUUCUUGGCCUCCAAAAAACGAGCCUCAAAUCCAACCAC
rnacentral:lncRNA from 1 species